rnacentral:tRNA from 1 species
GGAGAGAUGACCGAGAGGCUUAAGGUGCACGCUUGGAAAGCGUGUGUGCUGUCAUGGCACCGAGGGUUCGAAUCCCUCUUUCUCCG